rnacentral:rRNA from 1 species
AGGGUGUAAACGCUGCAGACUUGGUGUUGGAGGCCCUUUGGGGGCAUUCAGUGCCGGAGAGAAGUUGUUAAGUCUGCUACUUGGGGAGUACGUCCGCAAGGAUGAAACUUAAAGGAAUUGGCGGGGGAGCACCGCAACGGGAGGAGCGUGCGGUUUAAUUGGAUUCAACACCGUAAAACUCACCAGGGAAGACUGUUACAUGAAGGCCGAGAUGAAGACUCUGCCAGAUUUUCAGAGAGGUGGUGCAUGGCGUCAGUGACU